rnacentral:tRNA from 1 species
AAAAAGAUAAGCUAACAAAGCUAACGGGUUCAUACCCCGUCUAUAAAGGUCUUAAUCCUUUUCUUUUUA